GCUAUCGGUUUCCUCAAUUUAGUUCUUCGCAAAAUAGUGAAAAGUGAACAAGCAGAAAGCUAAACAUGGAUUCCUCAUUGCAAUCAUCCAAGAGAUCCGCUCAAUAUUACCGGCGAAUUCAGAAACGCACUCUGAAUGAAGCGGUGGAAGAGGAAGGAGAAAGCAGCCGGAUGCCGAUGGAUAUAGAUAACGCACAGCGCCAACACCGACGCCGAAAUUGCAAGGAAUCCCAUGGUAGGAGAGAAGAAGGACGUAAGCGCCGCGUGAGGAAGAGAGCGGCAAAGCGCGCGCGGCUAAUCGUGUGUGGAUCGCGCAGAGGAAGCGGCAACGGCUGGUAGAAAGGAGGCGUGGAAGCGGGGACCAGCUGACUGCGGCAGCAGGAUACCACGAAUUAGUGUGAGGCAACGGGUGAGUACGAAUAA